CCUACGGGUGGCUGCAGUCGAGAAUCAUUCACAAUGGGCGCAACCCUGAUGGUGCGACGCCGCGUGGGGGAAUGCAGGUCUUCGGAUUGUAAACCCCUGUCAUGUGGGAGCAAAUGAAAAAGAUAGUACCACAAGAGGAAUAGACGGCUAACUCUGUGCCAGCAGCCGCGGUAAUACAGAGGUCUCAAGAGUUGUUCGGAAUCACUGGGCGUGAAGCGUGCGUAGGCUGUUUCGUAAGUCGUGUGUGAAAGGCGAGGGCUCAACCCGCGGACGGCAGAUGAUACUGCGAGACUUGAGUAAAGGAGGGGGAACCGGAAUUCGUGGUGUAGCAGUGAAAUGCGUAGAUAUCGAGAGGAACACUCGUGGCGAAGGCGGGUUCCCGGACAUUAACUGACGCUGAGGCACGAAGGCGAGGGGAGCGAAAGGGAUUAGAUACCCCUGUAGUC
rnacentral:rRNA from 1 species